AGCCCUGCUGGCCAAAUGGUUAAGGCAUCCGCCUCCUAAGCGGGAGACUCCGGGUUCGAGUCCCGGGUAGGGUUU
rnacentral:tRNA from 2 species